GUGACCUGUGUGAAGCUCGCAGCACCAUCGCGUACUCCAUCAGACGCCAGAGCUGCGGCACAGGCUGGUGGGGAGGGAGACAGAGGAGCCUCAGUGACAUGAAAAGUCUCAACCGAAACUCACAGUCACCCGCGAGACACGAAUCUGCAGGAAACCAGCCAGCUGGGAGCCGGAUAGUCACCUGGAAGAGCAAAGCCUCUGCUUCUUGUCCUGAUGGUGCCAGGCUCUGCUGCCAGCCAGAAGGGUUUUUCUGAGAGAAGUGGAGGGCAGGCCGUGGCGGUGCUCGGUAGAGCUGCCGAGAGCGUUCCUGGUGUGGGAAACAAAGCCUCAAUUCAUGUGAAAAUCAGUUUUGCUGUGAGCUGAGCCCAAGCCCGCUCCCGAGGCUCCAAGGAGAUGCCCAGUGACCUGUGAACGCAGCCCACCCUUCACCUGGGAGGACACCACAGCCUGGCUUGGAAGGAGCUGUGUGGGAGCUGCGUGGCGGGGACCAACACCCAGCAUCUCCCCAAGCAUCCCCGACGUGGUCCCCAUGGUGCCAUCACAGGUACGGGCUUGGAGGCUGCCCUGGCCAGAGGGAUGCUCUGCAGCACCUUGCUGGCACUGCCUGAGUCCCCAGGCGUGUUCCCAUUGCUGUGUCCUCGUCACAGCUGCCUCACGUCGUGAUAACCCCCCUCGUCCUCUGCUCCAGCCAUGUGAGAUGGGAGAGGUGAUGCGUGCCAGUCCAGAGCGCCCCAUUACCCAACUGGGGAGCCAAAAGACGGUGCGGGAAAAGAAAUGGGGAAAGGUAUUUCUGAGCCCCGCAGUGAGAAGAGGUGAGAAACGCCCGCAGAAAUCUCCGUCGCUCUCUCCAGCAGCAGAGAGGGUUGCAGUUCAGGAUGGAAGUCCCGCACAAUAACAGAGCCCAUCCAUCAGAUAAGGGAGACAAACAGGAAAGGGAAGAGGUGCGUAUCUCCAUUUCUGCUGGGAUGUGGUGCUUUAUUCAUGAGCCAACACUGCCUCCGCAGCAAUGCCGACUGCGCUAAAGCCACGCAGCAAAAAAAAAAAACCCCAACAAAACCAACCACUCAAUGAAAAGUUACAAAACGGAGGCAU